rnacentral:rRNA from 1 species
CUUGCACCUUUCAAGCGAGUGGCGAACGGGUGAGUAACACGUGGAUAACCUGCCUCAAGGCUGGGGAUAACAUUUGGAAACAGAUGCUAAUACCGAAUAAAACUUAGUAUCGCAUGAUACAAAGUUGAAAGGCGCUACGGCGUCACCUAGAGAUGGGUCCGCGGUGCAUUAGUUAGUUGGUGGGGUAAAGGCCUACCAAGACAAUGAUGCAUAGCCGAGUUGAGAGACUGAUCGGCCACAUUGGGACUGAGACACGGCCCAAACUCCUACGGGAGGCUGCAGUAGGGAAUCUUCCACAAUGGGCGAAAGCCUGAUGGAGCAACGCCGCGUGUGUGAUGAAGGCUUUAGGGUCGUAAAGCACUGUUGUAUGGGAAGAAAUGCUAGAAUAGGGAAUGAUUCUAGUUCGACGGUACCAUACCAGAAAGGGACGGCUAAAUACGUGCCAGCAGCCGCGGUAAUACGUAUGUCCCGAGCGUUAUCCGGAUUUAUUGGGCGUAAAGCGAGCGCAGACGGUUGAUUAAGUCUGAUGUGAAAGCCCGGAGCUCAACUCCGGAAUGGCAUUGGAAACUGGUUAACUUGAGUGUUGUAGAGGUAAGUGGAACUCCUGGGGAACCG